UACGGGGGGGGUAAGCGUUGUUCGGAAUUACUGGGCGUAAAGGGCGCGUAGGCGGCCUUCUAAGUCGAACGUGAAAUCCCCGGGCUCAACCCGGGAACUGCGUCCGAGACUGGAAGGCUUGAAUCCGGGAGAGGGAUGUGGAAUUCCAGGUGUAGCGGUGAAAUGCGUAGAUAUCUGGAGGAACACCGGUGGCGAAGGCGGCAUCCUGGACCAAUACUGACGCUGAGGAGCGAAAGCCAGGGGAGCAAACGGG
rnacentral:rRNA from 1 species